rnacentral:tRNA from 1 species
GUUGAUGUGGCUCAGGGGGUAGAGCACUUGCCUCAUACGUGUGAGGCCUUGGGUUCAAUCUCCAGCAUCACA